rnacentral:lncRNA from 1 species
ACACACACACACACACACCGGCGUACUGGAACCUCUCUCGCGAUCCCGCACCCAGCUUGAAUUCAGCAAGAAUCGAAAACAGGUGUGCCCCCGUGGGGCGGUUCGAAGAUGGCCGAAUAGGAACAGCUCCAGUCUGCAGCUCCCAGCUUGAGCGACACAGAAGACGGGUGAUUCCUGCAUUUCCAACUGAGGACUGCCGAAGCUGAGAGUAACUACCCCUGGUUUCAUUUCCAACUCAUGAAUUUUUCGCCAUCCUUCUCUGCCCGCCUUUCCUUUACUACACAGUGAGCCGCACUCCUGGAACAAGCUUCCCUUGAAGUUCACCCUCUGAGCGCCACGGCCCCUCUCCAGCCUGCAUUCCACUGUAAGGUUGAGAAAUAUCUGAUUGUUAGUGAUGAGAGAGAAAACCUAGCCUCAUUCUCUGGUGGCCUGUCUUGCAAAAGAGAGAUGAAAUCAAACCUGGCUUCCUGAGAUUCCAAAUCACAAACAUCACAUACUAGUUUUUUUUUUUAAUAAAAUCAUGGGGCCAGAUGUGGUAGCUCACACCUGUAAUACCAGCACUUUGGGAGGCUGAGGCAGAACAAUCACUUGAGGCCAGGAGUUCAAGACCAGCCUGGAAAACAAAGGGAAACGCACUUCUACAAAAAAUUUAAAAAUUAGUCACAUGUGGUAGCAUGAACUUGUAGUUCCAGCUACUUGGGAGGCUGGGGCAGGAGGAUCGCUUGAGCCCAGGAGCUGGAGGCUACAAUGAGCCAGGAUUGCACUACUGCACUCCAGCCUGGGUGACAGAGGGAGACCUUGUCUAAAUAAAUAUCAUAGAAAGGUGGGGAACUCACUCAGAGUGUC